rnacentral:rRNA from 1 species
UUAAGCUAAGAAGAGCGUAGGGAGAAUGCCUUGGCAUUAGGAGCCGACGAAGGACGUGAUAAGCUGCGAUAAGCUGCGGGGAUCAGCAAGUAUGAAUUGAUCCGCAGAUUUCCGAAUGGAGCAAUCCGUAUGUGUAUGCACAUACAUCAUAUACUGAAUCAAAUAGGUAUAUGAGGGGAACCGCCUGAACUGAAACAUCUAAGUAGGGCGAGGAAGAGAAAUCAACCGAGAUUCUGUGAGUAGUGGCGAGCGAAAGCGGAAGAGGCUAAACCAUAGGUAGCAAUACUUAUGGGGUUUCGGACAGCAUUUAGUAUUGAUAAUUUCUAGUUGAAACGUGUGGGAAAACGUACCGAAGAGUGUGAGAGUCACGUAAGCGAAAGAGAGAAUCAGCGAGCUGUAUCCAAAGUACCGCGGGACACGUGAAACCCCGUGGGAAGAUGGGGGGACCAUCCUCCAAGCCUAAAUACUACCUAAUGACCGAUAGCGAAUAGUACUGUGAAGGAACGGUGAAAAGAACCCCGGGAGGGGAGUGAAAAAGAACCUGAAACCCUAUGCUUACAAGCACCGAGAGCACGUCAAAGUGUGAUCGGGUACCUUUUGUAGAAUGGUCCGGCGAGUUAUUGUAUGCGGCAAGGUUAAGUGCUUAAGGCACGGAGCCGAAGCGAGAGCAAGUCUGAACAGGGCGAAAAAGUCGUAUGCAAUAGACCCGAAACCGAGUGACCUAUCCAUGUCCAGGCUGAAGUGGAGGUAAAACUCCAUGGAGGGCCGAACACACGUCCGUUGAAAAGGCCGGUGAUGAGGUGUGGAUAGCGGAGAAAUUCCAAUCGAACUCGGAUAUAGCUGGUUCUCUCCGAAAUAGCUUUAGGGCUAGCCUCGUGAAAGAUUACUGGAGGUAAAGCACUGAAUGGGCUAGGGGUCGAAAGAUUACUGAACCCUAUCAAACUAAGAAUGCCAGAUAAUUGAUUCACGGGAGUCAGACAAUGUGAGAUAAGUCUCAUUGUCAAAAGGGAAACAGCCCAGACCCACAGCUAAGGUCCCUAAACAUUGUUAAGUGGAAAAGGAUGUGGGGUUGCAUAAACAACCAGGAUGUUGGCUUAGAAGCAGCCACUCAUUAAAAGAGUGCGUAAUAGCUCACUGGUCGAGUGACUCUGCGCGGAAAAUAUAACGGGGCUAAGCAUGAAACCGAAGCUUGGGCUUGUCGUAAGACAGGGGUAGGGGAGCGUCGAGUAUGGGGUGAAGUCAGAGCGGAAGCACUGGUGGACUGUACUGGAGUGAGAAUGCCGGAAUGAGUAGCGAGAAUUAUGUGGGAAUCAUAAUGGCCGAAAAUCUAAGGUUUCUUGGGGAAGGUUCGUCCGCCCAAGGUAAGUCGGGAGCUAAGCUCAGGCCGAGAGGCGUAGGCGAUGCACAUACGGUAGAAAUUCCGUAACCACCGAAACUUAAACAGAGGGACACUUCGAAAUAGCGGAACCCGGGCGUUGGUUGACCCGGGCGAAAGGGAGCGAAAUUAGAGUAGCGAAGUCCGCGAUGUUCGGAGGCGAGAAAAGCUCUGAGGUAUGCUAAGGUGCCCGUACCGCAAACCGACACAGGUAGAUGAGGAGAGAAUCCUAAGGCCAACGGGAGAAGGGUUGUUAAGGAACUCGGCAAAUUGACCCCGUAACUUCGGGAGAAGGGGUGCUCCAGCGAUGGAGCCGCAGAGAAUCGGCCCAAGCAACUGUUUACCAAAAACACAGGUUUGUGCUAAAUCGAAAGAUGACGUAUACGAGCUGACGCCUGCCCGGUGCUGGAAGGUUAAGAGGAGAUGUGCAAGCAUUGAAUCGAAGCCCCAGUGAACGGCGGCCGUAACUAUAACGGUCCUAAGGUAGCGAAAUUCCUUGUCAGGUAAG